CUUGCUUUCCUGCAAUGUCCGGCGAUCUGGCCCCUGGUAUACAGCUAAAUACUGCUGCUGGCAUCCUUAAAGGGCUAGCUAAUUUCAUGUGUCCCCUACAACCAGAGCUCUUUCGCUAGGCUUCUCAACGGGUGCCUCGCUGAGUGGGGCAAACCUGUUGAACUGUAACGUUUUAGCAGAGACGAGGCGAGAGGCUGAACGCAAAUGCAGGAGAUUCUUUAAUAAGUGAGGGAAAUCAAACAAGGGAGGCUAGAAAACAGGCAAAUUAACACGCAAACUAAGCAAACGAUAAAACAAGGACGAUAACGGCAACGACCCUAUACAUGACCAAACUUACCAAAAUAACCGACCACAUAGGAAACAAAACACAGGGUUAAGCCCUGACAACCAAGACAUUUAAGGGAUAACCAGACACAGGUGAAGAUAUGAACAGAAAACCAAAACAAGGACUUGAAUUGAGGAACAGAUGAGGGGCGGAGAAAACGAAACCAAGCAACGGAACAAGGAAGUAAAGGAAAACAGACACGACAGGGAAACUACAGAAACAGGGUUGCCAGAAGGAUGGUUAAUCGUGACAUGGACACGCGAAAAAUCUAAGUUUACGCACCAGUGAAUGGAUGUGUAAGUACAUGUAUAUGCAAGAGGCAGCACGGAACACAGGCUGUUUAGGAGCAGAGAGCCAAGUUUGAGAGCAUUCCGCUCUGAACUCUUAUAGUAGUCUAGGGAAUUAUGGGGAACUUGUCUCACCCCUGAUGAUGAACUCUUGGCCCUGGACACGCGUGUCACCUUUGGAGCGCUGCAGGAGGGCGAUCCAGUGGUGCAUCUCUUCGGGACUCUCUGCAUUACAGUGCAAAACACGCGCACAAAGAAAGGGUUUGACAUGCUAAGGGUGGACAUCAAGGAGUGCAAAGAAUUCUGGAAUGCUACACUCCUGUCGCUGUCGAAACCAACCUUAAAUUGCAAGCUGACCGUCGGC